UACGAGGGGGGCAAGCGUUGUUCGGAAUUAUUUGGGCGUAAAGGGCGCGUAGGCGGUUUUGACAAGUCUGAUGUGAAAAUCUCUGGGGCUCAACCCAGAGUCUGCAUUAGAAACUGUCGGGCUUGAGUAUGGGGAGAGGUGAGUGGAAUUUUCCCGGUGUAGCGGGUUGAAAAUGCGUAGAUAUCGGAAGGAACACCUGUGGCGAAAAGCGGCUCACUGGACCAU
rnacentral:rRNA from 1 species